rnacentral:rRNA from 1 species
AAACCAACAGGGAUUGCCUUAGUAGCGGCGAGUGAAGCGGCAAAAGCUCAAAUUUGAAAUCUGGCGCCUUCGGUGUCCGAGUUGUAAUUUGAAGAUUGUAACCUUGGGGUUGGCUCUUGUCUAUGUUUCUUGGAACAGGACGUCACAGAGGGUGAGAAUCCCGUGCGAUGAGAUGCCCAAUUCUAUGUAAGGUGCUUUCGAAGAGUCGAGUUGUUUGGGAAUGCAGCUCUAAGUGGGUGGUAAAUUCCAUCUAAAGCUAAAUAUUGGCGAGAGACCGAUAGCGAACAAGUACAGUGAUGGAAAGAUGAAAAGAACUUUGAAAAGAGAGUGAAAAAGUACGUGAAAUUGUUGAAAGGGAAGGGUUUGAGAUCAGACUCGAUAUUUUGUGAGCCUUGCCUUCGUGGCGGGGUGACCCGCAGCUUAUCGGGCCAGCAUCGGUUUGGGCGGUAGGAUAAUGGCGUAGGAAUGUGACUUUACUUCGGUGAAGUGUUAUAGCCUGCGUUGAUGCUGCCUGCCUAGGCCGAGGACUGCGAUUUUAUCAAGGAUGCUGGCAUAAUGAUCCCAAACCGC